rnacentral:tRNA from 1 species
UCGAAAUCGGGUAGACGCUACGGACUUAAAAUCCGUCGACUUUAGAAAUCGUGAGGGUUCAAGUCCCUCUAUC